CGGGGUGAGGAGCUGCGGUCUGUGAGUCCUCUCCCGCCAAUGGGUGGACCGCGCUGGCGGCCGCGAGCUCGCGGAGCUGGUCAACAAUCUUGGAAGCCACACAUUGAAGCUGGAGGAGCUCCAAGGUAGAAGGACCCUGAGUUCCUGAAUUACUAUUUAGAGCCCACCUUUAAGUAGAAACACUCAUGUACGGGAGCAAGAGGUAUGUUGCAUUGUACAAGAUGAAGUUAGUGGACCCAACUCAGAAGUACAAUGGCCGAGGCGGGCGGAUCACGAGGUCAGGAGAUCGAGACCAUCCCGGCUAAAACGGUGAAACCCCGUCUCUACU
rnacentral:lncRNA from 1 species